GAGUUUGAUCCUGGCUCAGGAUGAACGCUGACAGAAUGCUUAACACAUGCAAGUCUACUCGAAAGCUCUUCGGAGUGAUUAGGGUGGCGGACGGGUGAGUAACGCGUAAAGAACUUGCCCUUCAGACUGGGACAACUGUUGGAAACGACAGCUAAUACCGGAUAUUAUGAGACUAAGGCAUCUUAGACUUAUGAAAGCUAUAUGCGCUGAAGGAGAGCUUUGCGUCCUAUUAGCUAGUUGGUGAGGUAAUGGCUCACCAAGGCGACGAUAGGUAGCCGGCCUGAGAGGGUGAACGGCCACAAGGGGACUGAGACACGGCCCUUACUCCUACGGGAGGCAGCAGUGGGGAAUAUUGGACAAUGGACCAAAAGUCUGAUCCAGCAAUUCUGUGUGUUUGAUGAAGGCCUUCGGGUUGUAAAGAACUUUCAGUGGGGAAGAAGCAAGUGACGGUACCCACAGAAGAAGCGACGGCUAAAUACGUGCCAGCAGCCGCGGUAAUACGUAUGUCGCAAGCGUUAUCCGGAAUUAUUGGGCAUAAAGGGCGUCUAGGCGGUCUAAUAAGUCUGAUGUGAAAAUGCGGGGCUCAACUCCGUAUUGCGUUGGAAACUGUUAGACUAGAGUUUUGGAGAGGUAGGCGGAACUACAAGUGUAGAGGUGAAAUUCGUAGAGAUUUGUAGGAAUGCCGAUGACGAAGGUAGCUUACUGGACAAAUACUGACGCUGAAGCGCGAAAGCUAGGGGAGCAAACAGGAUUAGAUACCCUGGUAGUCCUAGCUGUAAACGAUGAUCACUGGGUGUGGGGGGUCGAACCUCUGUGCCGAAGUUAAUGCGAUAAGUGAUCCGCCUGGGGAGUACGGCCGCAAGGCUGAAACUCAAAGGAAUUGACGGGGACCCGCACAAGUGGUGGAGCAUGUGGUUUAAUUCGACGCAACGCGAGGAACCUUACCAGUCCUUGACAUCCUCUAAACUUUCUGGAGACAGAUUGGUGCCCCUUCGGGGGAAUAGAAUGACAGGUGGUGCAUGGCUGUCGUCAGCUCGUGUCGUGAGAUGUUGGGUUAAGUCCCGCAACGAGCGCAACCCCUAUCGUUAGUUACAUCAUUAAAUUGGGGAAUCUAGCGAGACUGCCUGGCACAAACAGAAGAAAGUGGGGACAACUCCAAGCCUCAUGCCCCUUAGGGCUGGGC
rnacentral:rRNA from 1 species